rnacentral:rRNA from 1 species
AUUGAACGCUGGCGGAAUGCUUUACACAUGCAAGUCGAGCGGCAGCGCGGGGCAACCUGGCGGCGAGCGGCGAACGGGUGAGUAAUGCAUCGGAACAUGUCCAUGUCGUGGGGGAUAGCCCGGCGAAAGCCGGAUUAAUACCGCAUACGCUCGAGAGAGGAAAGCCGGGGACCGCAAGGCCUGGCGCGAUUGGGUUGGCCGAUGUCCGAUUAGCUAGUUGGUGAGGUAAAGGCUUACCAAGGCGAUGAUCGGUAGCUGGUCUGAGAGGAUGAUCAGCCAAACUGGGACUGGGACACGGCCCAGACUCCUACGGGAGGCAGCAGUGGGGAAUUUUGGACAAUGGGGGCAACCCUGAUCCAGCCAUUCCGCGUGAGUGAAGAAGGCCUUCGGGUUGUAAAGCUCUUUUGUCCGGAGCGAAACGGGCGCGGCUAAUACCUGCGUCUACUGACGGUACCGGAAGAAUAAGCACCGGCUAACUACGUGCCAGCAGCCGCCGUAA